rnacentral:lncRNA from 1 species
CGAAAACAUUCAGGUCCCUACAGGUCCCUACGCCCCCAGCCCCAUACCCCCGAUUUUUCCACCCCUGUACCACCACCUCUUCACACCCCUGGGCAGAUACCCUCCUCACCCCUCUGCCUAAGCCCACAGGGCAGCCCUAAGCCCAUACGGAGGCCUGGUGGGUCCCAUCUCUAGGGCUGCAUCCUCCUUUGCCCCAAACCUGCGCUUAAUUACUUCCCCUCGCCCCCACCCCAACCGGGCAAGCCUCCUGCUGUCCCCUCCCCACUCCUUGUAUCCCUCACAACGUGCUCCAUGAACCCCCCCCCCCCCCUUCUGCAAGUGUCCUGUAGAUCUGAGCGGGAUUCAGGGCCAGAGCCUCCUGGAGACCGGCCCAGGUACCCUGCAGGGGCCCCAAUCCGUGUCUCCCCACAUGCAGAAUGGCCAGAAUCCCUAAGAGGGGCCAGCUGAAGAACCCAUCAGGACAAGGUCAGGGAAGGCAGCAGGACAAAUAGAUGGAACAGGGAGCAAGGUCAGGGAUGCCAUUGUGGAGAAGGAGAUGCAUGUGGACAGAGAAUGGCUCUGGAGCUGUGGAGCCUGGUGCAGGAUCUGACUCAGAGACACUCCAUAAACCUUUCUCAAAGAAUAUAUGAAUGCGGCGUGAAAGUGAAGCUGCUGUUUCUGCAGCACAAGGCUGUGGUGAGGAGUCCAUGAAGAGGGGCCCACCAGGCCUCAGGGGCCACUCAUGCCAGGAAGGGGCAGUCAUCCUAGGAGGAGUGGUGCUAUCAGAAGCUACCUCAGGAGAAGAAGCUGAGGCAGGCUGUCCCUGGAGGGCAAGGUCCAGUGCCGGAGACACAAGGUUCAUCAGGGACUUUGCACUUGCCAGACAAGCACUGUGCCGCUAAGCUACAUCCUUGGCCCUUCAUCCAGGUUUGAGGGGGCUCAGAGUUUGGUUUCUUUCCUGAGGGUAAGGGACCCUUGAUGGGUCAUUAAGGAGCCAGAUGGGCUGUGUGGGCGUGUGGGUAUGUGUGUGGGAGUGAGAAAUAGGAAGGAGGAGCCCAGGGAGGGGGUCACUUUCCUGUGCUACUGAGUAGGUAAGGUACUGGCUGGGGCUGACAGGACAGCUGUGGACUGUGGUGCAGUCUGCACACUGCACAAGGAUGCUGCUGUGGGCUGGGAUCCCCAAAGACCACCUGGAUGCCUUUUCCUUUCCCCUGUUCCUCCCGCUCUACCCUCCUUGCCUACUUAGCACUUUGGAUAGAGGGGCUGCCUUCCCUCCCACUUUGUCUCAGAGUGUGGGCUCCUUAGAACAGGAUGAUGCACCCCAAGGCACAUGGCAGGUGGGAUUCAUGUCACAGGAAUGAAAUUACCUGGGAGCGGUGAAGCCCCGCUGAGGGCCCCUAAAUCCUUAAAGCAGUCAGGCGUACACAGCGCACAGGUGCACACGUCCAUACAUGCACAUGUGAGGAACACUGACCUCAGUCCCCUUCCUGGCCCAGGUCCGAAGUAACAGGCCUCUCCCUGUCCACUGCCCUGUGACCUGCAGGAGCCCCAGGGGUGAACAUU